CUUGGAGAAGGAGAUCGCUGCGCGAACUCUUUCCCGCAGAUUUGACGGGAUCUGAACCAGAUCACCAUGAAGAGAAGAAAAAUCUUUCUUCUCUCUUCUUCUCUCUCUUUUCUCUUCUUAGAUCUGAUCUCUAUCAGAUCUGAAUGUUGGGAUGAAGGGGAGAAACAAAGAAGGCAUUGGAUGAUGGUUAUGCGGUAAGAAGAAAAAUGUCCUCACCUUAGCGCAUGCCAUCUUAUAUUUCUCUCAAAUUUUUGUCACACCCCA
rnacentral:lncRNA from 1 species